GUGCCAGCAGCCGCGGUAAUACGGAGGGUGCAAGCGUUAUCCGGAUUCACUGGGUUUAAAGGGUGCGUAGGUGGGUUGGUAAGUCAGUGGUGAAAUCCCCAAGCUUAACUUGGGAACUGCCAUUGAUACUAUCAGUCUUGAAUACCGUGGAGGUCAGCGGAAUAUGUCAUGUAGCGGUGAAAUGCUUAGAUAUGACAUAGAACACCAAUUGCGAAGGCAGCUGGCUACACGAAUAUUGACACUGAGGCACGAAAGCGUGGGGAUCAAACAGGAUUAGAUACCCUUGUAGUCC
rnacentral:rRNA from 1 species